GAUGAACGCUGGCGGCGUGCUUAACACAUGCAAGUCGAACGAAGCAUUACUUUUGGAGGGAGUCAGCUUGCUGAUUUCUGACAUGUGUAAUGACUGAGUGGCGGACGGGUGAGUAACGCGUGGGUAACCUGCCUUAUACAGGGGGAUAACAGUUAGAAAUGACUGCUAAUACCGCAUAAGCGCACAGUAUCGCAUGGUACGGUGUGAAAAACUCCGGUGGUAUAAGAUGGACCCGCGUCUGAUUAGCUAGUUGGUGAGGUAAUGGCUCACCAAGGCGACGAUCAGUAGCCGACCUGAGAGGGUGACCGGCCACAUUGGGACUGAGACACGGCCCAAACUCCUACGGGAGGCAGCAGUGGGGAAUAUUGCACAAUGGGGGAAACCCUGAAAUACG
rnacentral:rRNA from 1 species